rnacentral:rRNA from 1 species
CCUACGGGAGGCAGCAGUGAGGAAUAUUGGUCAAUGGGCGGGAGACUGAACCAGCCAAGUCGCGUGAGGGAUGAAGGUACGACGGAUUGUAAACCUCUUUUGCCAGGGAGCAAACGUUCGUACGUGAACGCGCGUCGAGAGUACCCGGAGAAAAAGCAUGGGCUAACUCCGGGCCAGCAGCCGCGGUAAUACGGAGGAUGCGGGCGUUAUCCGGUUUUAUUGGGUUAAAAGGGUGCGUAGGCGGGCUGCCAAGUCAGCGGUAAAACUGCGGGGCUCAACCCCGGCGCGCCGUUGAAACUGGCGUUCUUGAGUGGGCGAGAAGUAUGCGGAAUGCGCGGUGUAGCGGUGAAAUGCAUAGAUAUCACGCAGAACUCCGAUUGCGAAGGCAGCAUACCGGCUCCCCACUGACGCUGAGGCACGAAAGCGUGGGUAUCGAACAGGAUUAGAUACCCGAGUAGUC